UACGUAGGGUGCGAGCGUUGUCCGGAUUUAUUGGGCGUAAAGGGCUCGUAGGCGGCGUGUCGCGUCGGGAGUGAAAGCCCGCUGCUUAACGGCGGGUUGGCUUCCGGUACGGGCAUCGCUGGAGUGCGGCAGGGGAGACUGGAAUUCCUGGUGUAGCGGUGGAAUGCGCAGAUAUCAGGAGGAACACCGAUGGCGAAGGCAGAUCUCUGGGCCGUUACUGACGCUGGAGGAGCGAAAGCGUGGGGAGCGAACAGG
rnacentral:rRNA from 1 species